rnacentral:rRNA from 1 species
CAGUAGCCGCGGUAAUACGAAGGGGGCUAGCGUUGUUCGGAAUUACUGGGCGUAAAGCGCACGUAGGCGGAUAUUUAAGUCAGGGGUGAAAUCCCAGAGCUCAACUCUGGAACUGCCUUUGAUACUGGGUAUCUUGAGUAUGGAAGAGGUAAGUGGAAUUCCGAGUGUAGAGGUGAAAUUCGUAGAUAUUCGGAGGAACACCAGUGGCGAAGGCGGCUUACUGGUCCAUUACUGACGCUGAGGUGCGAAAGCGUGGGGAGCAAACAGGAUUAGAUACCCCUGUAGUCCCUGUCUCUUAUAC